UGGGGAAUCUUGCACAAUGGGCGCAAGCCUGAUGCAGCAACGCCGCGUGGGGGACGAAGGCUCUCGGGUUGUAAACCCCUUUCAGUAGGGACGAAAUUGACGGUACCUGCAGAAGAAGCCCCGGCCAACUACGUGCCAGCAGCCGCGGUAAUACGUAGGGGGCGAGCGUUGUCCGGAAUCAUUGGGCGUAAAGAGCUCGUAGGCGGCUGAGUAAGUCAGGUGUGAAACCCCCAGGCUCAACCUGGGGCCGCCAUCUGAUACUGCUCUAGCUUGAGUCCGGUAGGGGACCACGGAAUUCCUGGUGUAGCGGUGAAAUGCGCAGAUAUCAGGAGGAACACCGGUGGCGAAGGCGGUGGUCUGGGCCGGCACUGACGCUGAGGAGCGAAAGCGUGGGGAGCAAACAG
rnacentral:rRNA from 1 species